rnacentral:tRNA from 2 species
CCUUCCAUAGCUCAGUUGGUAGAGCGGGGGACUGUAGAUUUAUAAUUGUGAUCUCUAGGUCGCUGGUUCGAAUCCUGCUCGAAGGA